rnacentral:lncRNA from 1 species
CAGAGCUUCCCCUGAAGAUUGGAGGGGAUGAGUCAGGGGCAAGGAAGGAUUAACAGAUUCUGCCUCAAGUCCUGGUGAACCAACUCCUCUCCCCAAGACAGACACAUACUAGUGAAAUAAAUUGGAUUUAAAUCAUCACCUGAGGCAAUCCUGAAAGAGAAAAGCAGUCCUAGAAAAGAGUGGAGGAAAAGAGGACAGCCCCAUUCUCUUUGUGACCACGAAGACUGCCGCCAUGUGGUUGGGAGCCACGUAACUUCUUUUAGUGCCAGCUGAGAUUCUUCUGCCCUGGAACUAGUUCCUCCGAGUUAUUGCCAGGCCUGGAGAUUGAAUUCCUGCAGCUGGAAGGUGGGGAAAGUUGCCAGAGCGAAGGAAGUAAAAGCAUCCACUAUGAGAUUCACCAGAGGGGUUUGACCAGCUUUAGAAGGAGAAUCCUGGACAACAACACAUGCAGCUGUGAAGGCGACAAGUGUGACACUGACAGCCAACUGAAAUGGAAGGAAUGUGAAGAUGCUGUCAUAAACAUUUCUACCGCAUGUGACAGCUUUAACAAUACUUGCAAGGUCGUCAUCGCAAAAUGUUGUGAGCACCUACCAUAUGCCAGGCACUGUUCAGUGAACUGGUUGUACAGGAGUGAAUGAGAUCAUCUUGAUUUUGAGAAGUUUAUAAUCUACUCAAGGGAAACACGUGUAAUCAACUAUGUUUCAGACAUAACCCCUCAAAACCAAAGCAGAACCUCUUCAAGGAGCUGAGAGAUGCAAGCCUGACCAAACACUGCUCCAAAGCUGGAUGAGAUGUUUUUCCUCUUACCGUCCCCAAGCCUGGCCAAGUACAGGCACCUGGAGGCAACUCAGCAAGGACCUAUUGGGUGAACAGCAAAUAAAUAAAGUAUCUCCUUGAUUAGCAUUAGGCAAGAAUUAUUCAUUAUCAUGCAAUAUGAGUCAUUCAACUGGGGCAAGGAAAGAUGCUGGAAAGGGAAAGUAGUAUUUUUUUAGGGUCUAUUGUGUUAUUCAUGUAAAAUAGCUUGCAUGGUACCUUUUGCAUGCCUGGAACUCUUUACAUGGUGGCUGUUUUUAUGUUCUUAUUAAUUUUUGCUAACUUCAG